rnacentral:rRNA from 1 species
GUGGACCCGUGAUCCGGGUUGCGGACAGUGUCUGGUGGGUAGUUUGACUGGGGCGGUCUCCUCCUAAAGAGUAACGGAGGAGCACGAAGGUUGGCUAAUCCUGGUCGGACAUCAGGAGGUUAGUGCAAUGGCAUAAGCCAGCUUGACUGCGAGCGUGACGGCGCGAGCAGGUGCGAAAGCAGGUCAUAGUGAUCCGGUGGUUCUGAAUGGAAGGGCCAUCGCUCAACGGAUAAAAGGUACUCCGGGGAUAACAGGCUGAUACCGCCCAAGAGUUCAUAUCGACGGCGGUGUUUGGCACCUCGAUGUCGGCUCAUCACAUCCUGGGGCUGAAGUAGGUCCCAAGGGUAUGGCUGUUCGCCAUUUAAAGUGGUACGCGAGCUGGGUUUAGAACGUCGUGAGACAGUUCGGUCCCUAUCUGCCGUGGGCGCUGGAGAACUGAGGGGGGCUGCUCCUAGUACGAGAGGACCGGAGUGGACGCAUCACUGGUGUUCGGGUUGUCAUGCCAAUGGCACUGCCCGGUAGCUAAAUGCGGAAGAGAUAAGUGCUGAAAGCA